UUGAAUCUGAAACGUUUUUCAGAUUUACUUGAGAUUGUUUUCGUUUUCAUUAGCGUCCAUCUUCUGUUUGAUUUCGUUGAAGUGCAAUUCAUCAUUUGCGAGCGCGAUGGUUCUUGAAUCGGUAGAGAUUCUCAAUUACUUCUUCGCCGACACUGCAAAAGUUCAUCGCAAAAAGAAAAAUUGAAAUCCGAGGAAUCGGAGACAUAGGUAAUUGAAAUUUAAUUGUUAAGAGUCCAUUGUUUGUUACUCUCUGAUGUGCACAAUCUGUUGAACAGAGAUCGGUGAAACAAAUUUUUUGAUUUCUGAUUGGUGAACUUGACGUGAAACCAACACGCAACCUUCUGAUUGGUGAAUUUGUCUUGUUCGAACGUAAUAUUGAAACGGAGAAAGGUGCAGUGAAAUUCCAGUGGCAAUUCAUCCUGAGACAUUAAGCGGUGAUUGUAGCUGAAGCAAUAACAAGGGAAUCGGCCCUAAUUC
rnacentral:lncRNA from 1 species